rnacentral:tRNA from 1 species
GCGGGCGUGGUUUAGUGGUAAAACCUCAGCCUUCCAAGCUGAUGAUGCGGGUUCGAUUCCCGCCGCCCGCU